ensembl:snRNA U7 U7 small nuclear RNA
AGGUGUUAUUUUAGUAUUUCUCCAGUAGGUUUCCUCAGGGAGAAAGCCCCC